rnacentral:rRNA from 1 species
AUUGAACGCUGGCGGCAUGCUUUACACAUGCAAGUCGAACGGCAGCGCGGGCUUCGGCCUGGCGGCGAGUGGCGAACGGGUGAGUAAUACAUCGGAACGUGCCCAGUAGUGGGGGAUAGCUCGGCGAAAGCCGGAUUAAUACCGCAUACGACCUGAGGGUGAAAGCGGGGGAUCUUCGGACCUCGCGCUAUUGGAGCGGCCGAUGGCAGAUUAGCUAGUUGGUGGGGUAAAGGCCUACCAAGGCGACGAUCUGUAGCUGGUCUGAGAGGACGACCAGCCACACUGGGACUGAGACACGGCCCAGACUCCUACGGGAGGCAGCAGUGGGAAAUUUUGGACAAUGGGCGAAAGCCUGAUCCAGCAAUGCCGCGAGUGUGAUGAAGGCCUUCGGGUUGUAAAGCACUUUUGGCGGGAACGAAAAGGACUGUGCCAAUACCACGGUUCGAUGACGGUACCCGCAGAAUAAGCACCGGCUAACUACGUG